UACGUAGGGGGCGAGCGUUGUCCGGAAUCAUUGGGCGUAAAGAGCUCGUAGGCGGUUCAGUAAGUCAGGUGUGAAAGCUCCGAGCUCAACUCGGAGAGGCCACCUGAUACUGCUGUGACUAGAAUCCGGUAGGGGAGUGUGGAACUCCUGGUGUAGCGGUGAAAUGCGCAGAUAUCAGGAAGAACACCAGCGGCGAAGGCGGCACUCUGGGCUGGUAUUGACGCUGAGGAGCGAAAGUGUGGGUAGCAAACAGG
rnacentral:rRNA from 1 species